UAUGCACGCUGGCGGCGUGCCUAAUACAUGCAAGUCGAGCGAACAGACGAGGAGCUUGCUCCUCUGACGUUAGCGGCGGACGGGUGAGUAACACGUGGAUAACCUACCUAUAAGACUGGGAUAACUUCGGGAAACCGGAGCUAAUACCGGAUAAUAUAUUGAACCGCAUGGUUCAAUAGUGAAAGACGGUUUUGCUGUCACUUAUAGAUGGAUCCGCGCCGCAUUAGCUAGUUGGUAAGGUAACGGCUUACCAAGGCAACGAUGCGUAGCCGACCUGAGAGGGUGAUCGGCCACACUGGAACUGAGACACGGUCCAGACUCCUACGGGAGGCAGCAGUAGGGAAUCUUCCGCAAUGGGCGAAAGCCUGACGGAGCAACGCCGCGUGAGUGAUGAAGGUCUUCGGAUCGUAAAACUCUGUUAUUAGGGAAGAACAAAUGUGUAAGUAACUAUGCACGUCUUGACGGUACCUAAUCAGAAAGCCACGGCUAACUACGAG
rnacentral:rRNA from 1 species